AGUACGCGCAACCGAACCUGUUUCUAUUCGCCCGACCGGCCCCUCGGUGACACCUGCCCCAGAGCGACAUCUGCCAGCAAAUACUGCGCCGCGGGAAAGUGUCCGAUAUGUAAACCGUUUACUGUGACGGACGAUGCAUGGAGGCCGUGUAACGGACCCACAGAAAGUUGCGACUUCCCUGUCAGCUGCCGUGUGUCGGAUGAAGGGCGGUUCCAUCGGCUAACUCGGAGAUGGCUCGGCACAGGAAGUUAACAACAACGUAUCUGAUUGUAGCCUUCAGAAUAUUUUCGCUACAGGAGAGCUACACAGGAUCAGAGAGCCCAUCGACAUGUGUUGUUCGUACCUGCGCGUGGACCAGCUUGGUCAUGUGACGAUUGAGCAGCACACUGACUGCAUUGACUGUCCGGCCAAAUCCUUCCUCAUUUGUGAGUACAAAC